UACGUAGGGCGCAAGCGUUAUCCGAAAUUAUUGGGCGUAAAGAGCUCGUAGGCGGCUUGUCGCGUCGGAUGUGAAAACCCGCAGCUCAACUGUGGGCUUGCAUCCGAUACGGGCAGGCUCGAGUUCGGUAGGGGAGACUGGAAUUCCUGGUGUAGCGGUGAAAUGCGCAGAUAUCAGGAGGAACACCGGUGGCGAAGGCGGGUCUCUGGGCCGAUACUGACGCUGAGGAGCGAAAGCGUGGGGAGCGAACAGG
rnacentral:rRNA from 1 species